GCGCAGGGGGCGGGGGGCGCAGGGGAGGGGGCGUCUGCCAACGGCCGCUGCCUGACAGCCGGGGCGCGGCGGCGGGAGCCCGGAGCGGAGCACCUACCGCCCUGGGGGGGCAGCGCCGCGGGGACGGGGACCGGCACUCUGUGGAAAGAUCUCCUCCUGGAAGGCUCGGGGCGGGAGGCUCUGCGAAGACAUUGUCUACAGAAGUGCCUGAGAAGCAGCCAAUAUGAACAACAACGGCUGGCACCAGGGCAGGGUCACAGAUGCUUGUCUGAACAUGCUAUUGUGCAACAUCUCCACGCAGUGUGGGCGCCCGCCGCUGCUGUACCAAAGACACGACCGCCAUCUGCUGUCACAAACCCAGCCCGAGCCACGGAGCGCAAAAGAGAAGCAGAAAUCCCGCUGGAAGCCCCAUGUCCUCCUGGCCACCAGCGGCUCCCGUGGGCUAGCGCCUGAGUAUCUCAACUUCAUUAUUUCUAGCGUUGCUCUCAAUUCUUACCUCUUAUUUACUUCUUUGCUCUCAGGUAGAAAGAACAAACUCCUGUUACGGGUCGUAUGAGCUGGCGUGCAGAUGGGCAGCUGGCAGUGACACUGCCCUACACCCUCUGGGGAUGCCACCCACCGUGUGCGACGGGGACAGAAAGGGACACGUAGUCGAAGUAACUAUACAGCCACCACGUAUGCAUAUACCUACGUAUGUACAUGUGUGCUCACAGCUGCUCAAUAGUGCUAACGAUUGCUUUCUAUGAGCCCGAAACACCAUUUUCUCAGAGUUUAUAUUCCAUGCAAAUACUUGGUCUCUUAGUUGGAAGCUUGGAUGAAAGGCAGACAGAGGUUUUGGUUGUGGGUAGUUUCUAGGGCAGAGCGCUUGCCAUCACUGAAUGAUGGAUCUGCUGGAAACAGCUCACUGAACUGGGGCAGUUGGCUCUCAGUCCAGGUUUUCUUAUCUGGAUGCUCUCCCCAAAGGCUCAUGUUUCUGCAGUGAUCUAAAUCUGCCUAAUCACUAAGGAAAGCCCUUAUUGCUUUGCAGACUGUCUUACAUAUGUUGUUUGCUUUCCUAUUAACUCUAUAAUAUCUGGGCAGUGUGCCUGCUGUUCAAUAUUUAAACACUGUUUUUUCCACACUUGCUAUGAUGGUGACUUUUUUCGUUGCUUUCUUUUUAGUAACUUUGGAAGGGAGUUUAUUCUAAUAAAAUAAUCCUUUCUUUGCCUCAUAUUUUCAAAAUUCUUAUGAAUUUAUUGCUUGCUUAAAUAGUUCAACCUACUGUCCAUGUAUCCUGAUACCACAUAUCAGAGAGGGGUUUUUGGCUAUUUCCUGUGAUAGCAGAAAACACACAGAUGCCAGAUAUCUUGGUUUUAGAAAGACUUCUAACACUGCCUCACAUGACCAUGCAUCUCACAAGCAAGUCCAGAAAAACACAAAUGGAUGGGCACACAACUAGGUGUAAACUGGACCCACUGAAUAUUUAGCAAGAGUACGCUGUUGACUUGGCUGGAUGAAUCAAGCAGAAUCCUGCAGGAGUAUCUCCAUAGUACCAAUUCGAUAUUUUCAUUAAACAAUUUGGCACAGGUUAGACAAAGUAUCUGUCAGAAAUUACCUAAAUACAAUUGAUCCUGCUUUUUGGGUGGGAGGAAGCAGGCAAUUCCCAUCUCUGUUUUUCUGAUACUCCUGUUUGGAGCCAAAGGUCAUAAUUUAGACAUCAAGGCUAGAUGUCAAAAUUAUGUAUUGUCAGUACCAGCUAAUUAUCAUCCCGAGACUCUUGCUUUCCAUUGCUGUUAAAUGUAUCAUUAGGAAAAAAUAUCUUGUGGUUAAUAAUUCAAAUGAAAAGCAGUUAUAAAGUAGGCUGGCGCCACGCCAUGCAAGCUUGAUUUGUUCAAACCUCUGUUUUCUAAGUUGUAGGCUUCUUUUGAGCACAUCCUGCUGGGUUUGCUGAUGUCUAGAUGGCUGAUGAUCUAGAGACCUGUCUGUUGGCCAUUAGGAUGAUUCAGUUCAUUUAAUAAAAGCCGUAUUGGAACACCCAUUUAACUUACUGCAGAAAGGAUGCUGGAUGAACAGGGGAAAGGAAAACUCACACAAAUAUUACUCAUUCAGAAAAUGCUAAAACUUGGACUCUGAACAGCCUUUGAUAUUUGACCUCUGCAGAUGGCCUGUAAUUAAGACUCUAAUCCUUUUAACACUUAAGGACACUUCACUCAAAAUUAAUAGGAUUAGUCACAUGCCUGAAGUGUGCAUGGUUGGGGUGAAAAACUGUUGUUGAGUACAGCUGAUUAAAAACUUGCAGCGAAGACA